UAUAUGAAUGUGCGUGUGUGUGUUUGAUUUGAAACAAUUAUAUUCUGUCAUAUACUGUCGCUUCUUCCUACUGUUAUAUGUUUGAUACUAAUGUGUCCUCGUCUUGUAGCUUUACUUGAUAUUGACUCCUGUUUGUGUUAGUAUUUUAAUUCCUCAAAUAAAACAAAAUACCAAAAAGAUAGUGAGUAAUAUCUUAACCUCCCUUUGCUAUUUUGCAUUUUCUUGGUGGCCUAUCUUUGGGUACAAUCAUUGUUAGUUUAGAUUCUUAUUUUCUGCAUUUAUCUCUUAAAAUUGUGCUACCUAGCUUUAGCCAAGCAUAGUCGUCGUCGCCUAGUCCCUGUGGAGAACACGACAUCCGUAGUUUGGGGCGUAAAAACCCCGCUAUACUUUCAAAUGAUCAUUUUGGCGCCGUUGCCGGGGACUAGCGUCGAGCGAUUGUGCUAGGCUAUAGACUAGGUUUUUCUUGUUUUCAUCUUGUGCCAUAUAUUUGUGAUAUAUCUCUAGCCACUAACCCCUGUUCUAGUUAUUAUCUUUUUGUCUUCUUUUCCUUUUUGCAGGUUGGAUUAUCCUCUCGCAAAUGGCAUUCUAUUCAGAUCAUCAUGCUUAUGCGAGCAACACUACAAACAACACGGAAAGUAUACAAGAACUGAUAAGUAAGAUUUCCCAUCGAUUAGAUGAUUUAGCUCGACAGCGAGAGGUAGUUUUUGAGGAUAGGCCUAGCUCUUAUGAUCCUUAUUCUAGAGGUCAUCCUUAUGUUGCUCCUACAUGCCAUAUUUGUGGUUACUCUCACCCUCCCGAUUGUUAUGGCACGAGCUUCGCCCCACAGCCUAGCUCAUACCAAAAAAAUUACACACAUGGGUGGCCUGAAAACCAGAAUAUGUCAUAUAGGAGCAAUAACCCUGAGAUCUCAUCAUUUUCCUCUAGUUAUCCGAUGCAGGGAUUUAGGUAUGAAGAGGAGAGCCACAACUAAGCUCCACAACAGAUUUAUUCAGCUCCUACUCAUAUACCUCAACACCAGGACAUGUUGCCAAUGGAGUUAAAUGGUCCUCCAUUUGGUCAACCAACAUCUUCAACACAAGUGCCCACACAAGAUGACUUUGAUGAUAUAUACAAGCUCACAUUGCUUGGUCUAGAGUUCACUUGGAGUGCCGAAGAUGAUCCAAUUAGGCCGGUGAUACUAGAGGAAAUGAAGAAGAUUAAGAGUGGAAAGGAUCUAGUGGAAGAAGUAAAGAAGAUUGAGAAGAACAUCAACACUGGUAGUACUAUUUCUUCAUAGCUUGAGCUGAGUAAUUCUGGGAUUCUCCUUGAUACAUGUGAGGUUCCAAUACCGUCACAUCCAGCUGAGCAAGAUAGCAAGUGCCUUGAGCAUGAGAUACCUCAGAUUGAAGAAGAUGAACUAGAAGACAAGGAACAAGAUGAUGAAGAGCUGCAAUUCCCAAGUGAUCAAGUUGAAGACUCGUCAUCUACUACUCCUGAAGAAGUACAAGAAGCUGCUGUAGAUGAAGAUGAAGAACCUGAGAUUCAUUGGCCUAUUGUCAUACAUGAGCGUGAUGUGUCAGGUUUACCCAAUCCUCUUGAUGACAUGCUCCCUUGUGAUUUCUUUGCUUCUAACUUGCAUUGCAUGAUGCCAUUACUUAAGGUAGAUUUGAAAAACUAUUUGCUUGGAUAUGAUCAUAUAUACCCUGUUAGUGGCAUUACUCUCAUUUGUGAUGAUCACAAUUACUUUCCUCGUGCUAGUUCUAUGCUUAAUGAAACAUAUCAUUCCCAUGUUAGUCUUGAGCUUAAUGAUAAAUAUCAUCCUCAUGUUAGCAUUGAGCUUACUGAUUUGUACCAUCCUAAACAUGUGCUUUAUAGCUAUGCUUAUGUAAUUGGGUACUCUAUAGAUGAUUUAGAGGGCAUUACCCUUGUCACUUGUAUUGUUUCCUUGGUUGAGUGCUCUUUCAGGUUGUUGCUUGUGCACGAUCCACUACAUGCUGACCAAGUUCGAGAUGACAUUCCCUGGGACCCAGGUGGACCCAUGGCAUGGGGAUGAGGAGAAGCAAGGAGCACACAUGAAGAGAGAAGCUGGAGCAGGCAUGAGGAUAGAGAAGCAAAAGGAGAGGAGUUGCAGUUGGUGAGGUGAUCGAGCGAGUGCUACAUCAUCAAAGCCCGGUGAGCUAUUUCAUGACCCAUUCCGAGUAUAUCAUCCAUUGAUACAAGCUGAAAUCAUUUGAUAUUUGGGUUGCUUGAGUCAUUUCUUAAAUACUGUCCCGCUGAAUUUUAUUUGACAUAUGGUGCUUGAUGAGAAUAUGCGAACUGAUUGUUGAAUGCCAUGUAAACUAGUGAUAUACAUGUUGCUUGCUUUGCUGAAAUUAGUUUUGAGUGCUCAAAUCCCUAGUACACUAGAAAACUUAAUCAUUUUCUGCUUUUACCUCGAUACACCUAGAUCACAACAUUUAGAUGCUGAAUUUGUGCCAAGUGUCUUCCCAUUGAGAGCAAUCACCUAACCACUAUGGAUUAGCAUGCUAUGUUCCCUGGAUCGGUAGCAUGUGAACCAGACAUGGAGAAGUGAUGAUUCCUGUUUUUGUUCUUAUGCAUUGUUCAUUUAAGAUAAGUAAUAAUGAAUAAAUAAGUCUGACUACCUACAGUAGCAUGUCAUGUUCCCGGGAUCGGUGGCAUGUGAAAUCGGGUUAGCUUGGGCAGUAAUUAAUAAUAAUAAAAAUGUAAUUGUCGAACCAGGUGUAUACCAUGUUCUCGGGAUCGGUGGUAUGUUCCUUUGGGGAGACAAACACACUAAAAAAACUAAUAAUUGGUCGAGCCAGGUGUAUACCAUGUUCUCGGGAUCGGUGGUAUGUUCCUUUGGUGAGACUGAUAAAAUAUUAUCAUUACUUCCUUCAAAUUUAAUAAGUGGUUCAACCACAAAAUCAUAUUUCUGCAAAUAAGAGAUUUAAUUCCAGUUCUUUUUGUUCUCGGGAUCAUGCUCUCUUUAGGAACCAUUUGGCACAGUCAUCAUUUAAACUUGUUGAUCCUCUUUUAUCACUGUAAAAGUUUAAAAUGGUCAUGCUUACUAGUAUCCUACCGCUUUGAAGCACUCCUAACCAUUAAUUUUCACUAGCUAAGUCCAAAGCAUGCACUGUUUAGAGAUCUACUUCACUUGGUAUUCUCUAGUCAGCUCACUGUUCACAUUCUUGCUCUUGUCAUAUGCCUUUGCUUGAGGACAAGCAAAAGUUUAAGUGUGGGGGAACUUGAUAAGCACAUUUAAUAUAUGCAAUUUUGGCAUAGAAAUAUAUUAUUUAUUGAGAUAUGACCAUCAAUUCUUGCUGUGAAAUAUUGAAUAUUUGCAUGAAAAUCAUAUAAAGUAUCAUUUACUAGUCAUUGUGUUUCUUUUGCAGAAAAGUGCGCAAAGGCACUAUAAACUUCAAGAUCUGGACUAGUGGCUAAGAGAACCAGUCAAGUGAAAAGGAAGAAGAAAGACAGAGGGACUUGUGUGUGAAGAAAUGAUGCUCCAUGGGACAAGUUAAAGAAGAAAGGGACCUUCUUAUGAAGAAAGAAGAAAAGGAGAAGGGCCAAAAAUGCAAAGUGGCAGAUCAGAGGAGGGGUCAAAAUCCCUAGCGGCAGCUAAUCCCCAUUGCGCCUGGCACAUCUCUCUUCUCCCCCAUCCUCCUUCUCCACCUCCGGCCGCCGCCACGGCCAGGCCGCCGUGGUGGUGCGCCUCCCAUCCACCUGCACCACUCCACUCCGCCACCUCAGCCAUCCAUCCACCGUGCGCCUCCCAGCCACCAGCACCUCCCACCACAUCACCCAUCUCCAUCCACCAGCACCACUCACCAGCAUCACAGCGCUUCCCCGCACCUCGCGCCCCUGUGAUGCUGCUCUUCUUCUCCAACUGCCGCUGCUCCUCCCCUUGUCCCUUCUGCUGAUGCUCUUCCCUGCUGUCCUUCUUCCCUUGCCUUGCUCCUUCUCCAUCUCUUGCUGCUACUUCUUCUUCUCUGAACCUCAUUUCUUCUCCUUGCAUCCCCUUGUUGCUGCGCCUCUUUCUUUGCUACUGCUUCUCUUCUCACGCCCCCUGCUACUUUUCUUCUCCAAGCCCCGCUGCUUCUUCUCCAUCACGAAACUGCUGCCCCUCUCUUGCUGCGCCCCUGCCGCUUCUUCUCACGCUGCUGCUGCUCUCUAUCCCCACGUCCCUGCUGCUGCUCUUCUCUGAAACCUCAAAACUGCUGCUUCUUCUCCCUCUCUCUAUUCUCUAAUUUUCGGUAAUCUUGAGUAGUGUAAUGUUCAGUACUUUGAAAUGUUCAGAAUUGAGAUGUGUAGCUCUUGUAAGGUUCAGAUUUUGAUAAGUGUUUGCAAUAAACUAGUUUGUUCAGUUCGUACUUGUUAAAUAUCAUGUCAUAAAUUCUAUGUUUUUAAUAGUGGAUUUCUUGUUGCUUUGGGAACUAACUCAUAUGUAAUAUUUUGUUACUUUGGUAAUUAGUGCUCUGUCAGCAUAUAUGUGUGUUCACCCUGUGUAUUUCUUCUCGCUGUCUAGUUAAAUUCUAUCAGUAAUUUUUAGUUGUUAAAUACUGUUGUGUUGAUCUAUGGGUACUAAUCUUGUGGCUUGUAAGAUUUCAUUUCUGUUGUCACUUGUGUAACCUGAACCGUGGUGUAGUAUCCUGUUCGCAUAUGUGUGGUUUUGUGUGUUCUGUAGUCCCCGUAUCAGCUAUGUACCUGUGAUAUAUGAAUGUGCGUGUGUGUGUUUGAUUUGAAACAAUUAUAUUCUGUCAUAUACUGUCGCUUCUUCCUACUGUUAUAUGUUUGAUACUAAUGUGUCCUCGUCUUGUAGCUUUACUUGAUAUUGACUCCUGUUUGUGUUAGUAUUUUAAUUCCUCAAAUAAAACAAAAUACCAAAAAGAUAGUGAGUAAUAUCUUAACCUCCCUUUGCUAUUUUGCAUUUUCUUGGUGGAUUAUCUUCGGGUACAAUCAUUGUUAGUUUAGAUUCUUAUUUUCUGCAUUUAUCUCUUAAAAUUGUGCUACCUAGCUUUAGCCGAGCAUAGUCGUCGUCGCCUAGUCCCU
rnacentral:lncRNA from 1 species